AAGCUUUGGCGUUGUUUGAACGUUGAAGCUAGACUAUGCGGAAGACAUACUGGUUGUUUGGUUCAGUUUUGAGAGAGUAAAUUAUACCUCUCAAGGAUAAAAGGAUUUUCUGUUAAAAUCCGUCACGUCCUGUGACGAACACAGAAGUCACGACAUCCUGUAGAAACUUUGUACCUUGAAAACUAAAUAAGAGUAACAACGACAUCAAACUAAAAGCGGAAGCGAAUGUGUAGCGAUGUACAGACUGGACUGACUCGAAGGAGAUAAAGGAAACACGGUGAACGCAAGUGAAUCGAUGUUGACUUAUCGUAUGGAGAGGAAGGAAGUCAUGCUAUUGCUAUGAGCUGAAGCUAGAAAACCAAAAGCUGAAAU
rnacentral:misc_RNA from 1 species